AUUGAACGCUGGCGGCAGGCCUAACACAUGCAAGUCGAGCGGAUGAAGGGAGCUUGCUCCUGGAUUCAGCGGCGGACGGGUGAGUAAUGCCUAGGAAUCUGCCUGGUAGUGGGGGAUAACGUCCGGAAACGGGCGCUAAUACCGCAUACGUCCUGAGGGAGAAAGUGGGGGAUCUUCGGACCUCACCCUAUCAGAUGAGCCUAGGUCGGAUUAGCUAGUUGGUGGGGUAAAGGCCUACCAAGGCGACGAUCCGUAACUGGUCUGAGAGGAUGAUCAGUCACACUGGAACUGGGACACGGUCCAGACUACUAAGGGAGGCAGCAGUGGGGAAUAUUGGACAAUGGGCGAAAGCCUGAUCCAGCCAUGCCGCGUGUGUGAAGAAGGUCUUCGGAUUGUAAAGCACGUUAAGUUGGGAGGAAGGGCAGUAAGUUAAUACCUUGCUGUUUUGACGUUACCAACAGAAUAAGCACCGGCUAACUUCGUG
rnacentral:rRNA from 1 species